AGAGUUUGAUCCUGGCUCAGGACGAACGCUGGCGGCGUGCUUAACACAUGCAAGUCGAACGGAAAGGCCCUGCUUUUGUGGGGUGCUCGAGUGGCGAACGGGUGAGUAACACGUGAGUAACCUGCCCUUGACUUUGGGAUAACUUCAGGAAACUGGGGCUAAUACCGGAUAGGAGCUCCUGCUGCAUGGUGGGGGUUGGAAAGUUUCGGCGGUUGGGGAUGGACUCGCGGCUUAUCAGCUUGUUGGUGGGGUAGUGGCUUACCAAGGCUUUGACGGGUAGCCGGCCUGAGAGGGUGACCGGCCACAUUGGGACUGAGAUACGGCCCAGACUCCUACGGGAGGCAGCAGUGGGGAAUAUUGCACAAUGGGCGGAAGCCUGAUGCAGCAACGCCGCGUGCGGGAUGACGGCCUUCGGGUUGUAAACCGCUUUCGCCUGUGACGAAGCGUGAGUGACGGUAAUGGGUAAAGAAGCACCGGCUAACUACGUGCCAGCAGCCGCGGUGAUACGUAGGGUGCGAGCGUUGUCCGGAUUUAUUGGGCGUAAAGGGCUCGUAGGUGGUUGAUCGCGUCGGAAGUGUAAUCUUGGGGCUUAACCCUGAGCGUGCUUUCGAUACGGGUUGACUUGAGGAAGGUAGGGGAGAAUGGAAUUCCUGGUGGAGCGGUGGAAUGCGCAGAUAUCAGGAGGAACACCAGUGGCGAAGGCGGUUCUCUGGGCCUUUCCUGACGCUGAGGAGCGAAAGCGUGGGGAGCGAACAGGCUUAGAUACCCUGGUAGUCCACGCUGUAAACGGUGGGUACUAGGUGUGGGGUCCAUUCCACGGGUUCCGUGCCGUAGCUAACGCUUUAAGUACCCCGCCUGGGGAGUACGGCCGCAAGGCUAAAACUCAAAGGAAUUGACGGGGCCCCGCACAAGCGGCGGAGCAUGCGGAUUAAUUCGAUGCAACGCGUAGAACCUUACCUGGGUUUGACAUGGAUCGGGAGUGCUCAGAGAUGGGUGUGCCUCUUUUGGGGUCGGUUCACAGGUGGUGCAUGGCUGUCGUCAGCUCGUGUCGUGAGAUGUUGGGUUAAGUCCCGCAACGAGCGCAACCCUUGUUCACUGUUGCCAGCACGUUAUGGUGGGGACUCAGUGGAGACCGCCGGGGUCAACUCGGAGGAAGGUGGGGAUGACGUCAAGUCAUCAUGCCCCUUAUGUCCAGGGCUUCACGCAUGCUACAAUGGUCUGGUACAGAGAGUGGCGAGCCUGUGAGG
rnacentral:rRNA from 1 species